AUUGAUGGACGAUAUAUAUGA
rnacentral:siRNA from 1 species